UGGGGAAUAUUGCGCAAUGGGCGAAAGCCUGACGCAGCGACGCCGCGUGAGGGAUGAAGGUUUUGGGAUCGUAAACCUCUGUCAGAAGGGAAGAAACCGCACUGUGCUAAUCAGCAGUGCCUUGACGGUACCUUCAAAGGAAGCACCGGCUAACUCCGUGCCAGCAGCCGCGGUAAUACGGAGGGUGCAAGCGUUAAUCGGAAUUACUGGGCGUAAAGCGCACGUAGGCUGCUUUGUAAGUCAGGGGUGAAAUCCCACGGCUCAACCGUGGAACUGCCUUUGAUACUGCUUAGCUUGAAUCCGGGAGAGGGUGGCGGAAUUCCAGGUGUAGGAGUGAAAUCCGUAGAUAUCUGGAGGAACAUCAGUGGCGAAGGCGGCCACCUGGACCGGUAUUGACGCUGAGGUGCGAAAGCGUGGGGAGCAAACAGG
rnacentral:rRNA from 1 species